UCACAUCUUGCGAUGGCAGUCCCGCCAGAGUGCCCACCAUUACGUGAUGGCAACUGACAGCAAGGGUUGCGCUCGUUAUGGCACUUAAGCCGACACCUCACGGCACGAGCUGACGACAACCAUGCAGCACCUCCACAACUGCCCCGAAGGGAAAGCAUAUCUCUAUGCCGGUCAGUCGCAGUUCAAGCCCGGGUAAGGUUCCUCGCGUAUCAUCGAAUUAAACCACAUGUUCCUCCGCUUGUGCGGGCCCCCGUCAAUUCCUUUGAGUUUCACCGUUGCCGGCGUACUCCCCAGGUGGAAUGCUUAAUGGUUUCCCUAAGUCCCGGACAGUAUAUCGCCCAGAACGAGCAUUCAUCGUUUACGGUGCGGACUAC
rnacentral:misc_RNA from 1 species